CCUUGUCCUGGCUUUUUGAUACUUGAUGUUCUUCAAUAACUUGAUCAAGGAAACCAUGCAAUUCUUUGGAAGCCUUUUUCACCUUCCCGGUGAAGCCUGUUAGAACAUCGAGCCAUCCCAAAUAGGGAAAAGAAUCUUUAAAGCUGAAACUUCCCACAAGGUCUAUUGCUCCCCUAACCAAAUCCCCUGAACUGCUCUGAUGACCACUUUCAUUAUCAUAUACUGUACCAAGAGCUGAUCUUGAUACGAUGUUGUUGGAGAUAGUAACAAGCAUCUCACUCAGAUCAACUGGAGAUCCUACAGCGCAUGCAUAGCGCAACUUCUCAACCAGCUUAGCAGUUUCUUCUUUUCUCACAAACUCAAAGUUUUGCACCCUUUUCUGGCUCAAGAGUUCAAGAACGCACACCUUCUUCACCUGUCUCCAAUAUUCACCAUAGGGACAAAAUGCGAGGUUUUGGCACCCAAAGAACAAAGCAUCUCCGGCGCUGGUCUUCGGUCUAUCUGCAAAAGCAACAUCAUGAUUUUUGGUGAUUUCAUGAGCCAUCUCUGCAGUUGAAACUACAAGAGUUGGAACUUUGCCCAAAUGCACAAGCAUAAGAGGGCCAUAUUUGUCGGAGAGGGUUUUGAGGGAUCGAUAGGGGAGAGCGCCUAGUUGGUGAAGGUUUCCAAUGAUUGGUAGCUUUGGGGGUGAUGGAGGUAAUUUGAGUUUGCGAGUUCUAUUGAACCUAAACAGAUAAAUAAAUGAUAAAAGGAGAAGAGAGGCAAUGAGCAGAGGAUUGAAUGGAACAGUUUUGGCAAACUCUUGACACCAUUGAUGCAACAAAGCUACUGUUUCCAUUGCCUUCUUCUAAGACUUUGGACUUGAGUUACAGAGUGCAGACAUACA
rnacentral:misc_RNA from 1 species